UCCCAGUUGGCUCGGUGGUAAAGAAUCUGCCUGCCAAACUGAAAACGCAGGUUCGAUUCCUGCAUUGGGAA
rnacentral:tRNA from 1 species